rnacentral:rRNA from 1 species
GGAGGGUGCGAGCGUUAAUCGGAAUUACUGGGCGUAAAGCGCGCGCAGGCGGGCUGGGGUCAGUCGGGAUGUGAAAGCCCCCGGGGCUUAACCUGGGAAUUGCAUUCGAUACUGCCCGGCUAGAGUAUGGGAGAGGGAAGUGGAAUUUCCGGUGUAGCGGUGAAAUGCGUAGAUAUCGGAAGGAACACCAGUGGCGAAGGCGGCUUCCUGGCCCAAUACUGACGCUCAGGUGCGAAAGCGUGGGGAGCGAACAGGAUUAGAUACCCUGGUAGUCCACGCUGUAAACGAUGAGAACUAGAUGUUGGGAGGGUUAGCCUCUCAGUGUCGCAGCUAACGCGUUAAGUUCUCCGCCUGGGGAGUACGACCGCAAGGUUG